UACGUAGGGUGCAAGCGUUGUCCGGAAUUAUUGGGCGUAAAGAGCUCGUAGGCGGUUUGUUGCGUCGGCUGUGAAAUCCCGAGGCUCAACCUCGGGUCUGCAGUCGAUACGAGCAAACUAGAGUGUUGCAGGGGAGACUGGAAUUCCUGGUGUAGCGGUGAAAUACGCAGAUAUCAGGAGGAACACCAGCGGCGAAGGCGGCGCUCUGGGCCGGUACUGACGCUGAGGAGCGAAAGCGUGGGUAGCAAACAGG
rnacentral:rRNA from 1 species